rnacentral:rRNA from 1 species
UACGUAGGUGGCAAGCGUUAUCCGGAAUUAUUGGGCGUAAAGCGCGCGCAGGUGGUUUCUUAAGUCUGAUGUGAAAGCCCACGGCUCAACCGUGGAGGGUCAUUGGAAACUGGGAGACUUGAGUGCAGAAGAGGAAAGUGGAAUUCCAUGUGUAGCGGUGAAAUGCGUAGAGAUAUGGAGGAACACCAGUGGCGAAGGCGACUUUCUGGUCUGUAACUGACACUGAGGCGCGAAAGCUAGGGGAGCAAACGGG